rnacentral:rRNA from 1 species
ACGUAGGAGGCAAACGUUAUCCGGAUUUACUGGGCGUAAAGCGCGUGUAGGUGGUUUGGUAAGUAGAGCGUGAAAGCUCCUGGCUCAACUGGGAGAGGUCGUUCUAAACUGCCGGACUAGAGGAUGGUAGAGGGAGGUGGAAUUCCGGGUGUAGCGGUGGAAUGCGCAGAUAUCCGAAGGAACACCGGUGGCGAAAGCAGCCUCCUGGGCCACUACUGACGCUCAUACGCGAAAGCGAGGGUAGCGAACGG